rnacentral:lncRNA from 1 species
GAACACAUGCUUAGAUACACAUUAAUUGCCAUCCUAACCUUUUAAGGCUUCUUUAUUGCUGUUUAAAGGUCAUCUAUCCUUAUGUAAUUACUAUUUGUAAAUUUUAUAAGGAAAGCAUUGAAUAUGUGGACAUUUCCUUAAUUUGCCAAAGCUGGAGUGUUUACCAGCUGCCUAAUUGACAGAAAAAGCCCCUGUUUGUGUGUGUUAGAAUGGAAAACUUUGGUUAUUAAGGAGUUUCAUAUUUAAAUUAUGAUAAACAUCCAAGUGAAGAAGUCAGCACAAACCCCACAUAUUCUACAAUUUUAUCCUGCUAGAGAAAUGAAAGUUAUCAUUCCUAUUACUAUAUUAAUUCCUAUCUAAAUAAGGUAUACACAUUCUAACGGCUUCGUUUGUUUAGUUGAAAACCAAUUCAAUCAUGCUACAGUGCCAGAUUCUUUGACAUAAAGUUUGACAUAAUGCUACGUGACAUUAUAUUAUUGAACUAUUUUAAAUACAAUUAGUGUUCCUAUCAAAUCAUCUUUUGCCACCUCAAAUUAUGUCAAAGCAUCUAUUAAAGUUUUCUGCAAAGUGGCAAAACCCAAACAAAUUCACUAUAAGGCUGCAUGUUAUAAUGUUAUUGUCCCACGAGUUUGAAGAUAUGACGUCUUUGCUAUUUUUCCAGGAUUUGAUGUUGCAUAUCAUUUUCGAAAAUGUCCUGUCCUGGCCUGGCCUGCCUCUCUGAAGUUGAAUUUACGAACGAAAAAGUGUCUAGUGCUGGAGAAAAGGCUCUAGCAUGUGGAGAGUUUGGCAUGAAACAGCUUUUAUUUCUCAGUGGGUUUUGUACAGAUAUCUGCUGCUAUUUUCCCAUGCUAACUUUUUAGCGGUCAGUGAUUCCAGUUUCAGGUGGAACAACUUUCUGUAUUUCUGACCAACCGCUGGAACAAAGAUAUCGAUUUGAUAAUUGAGCAAAAUGCUACAUUCCCUUUUUUACCUACAUUAUGAAUAGAGGAACUAAAGUUUCUGGCCUACUCUUUUCAUAUAUGGCCUUGUUUUACAUUUGCAUACUCGGUUUCUCCUGAGGAAAUGAGAAGUGUGUCAUAUUUUGAGUUUAAUGUUUUAUGUGCAAUGUCGGGUUUGUAACAUGCUUUGACUCUGUUUUAUCUAUAAAU